rnacentral:lncRNA from 1 species
GAUCGGUCUGAGGAGGAAGGAUCCUUUUCAACACUAAAUCUCCGACUUGGAAACAACGAGGACGCACUUUCUGAUCAAAGGCUCUCUUCAUCCGACUCUGAUACAACUGCCCAUGACAAAUGGCUGCCAUUCGCUUCUCUUCGAUAAGACUCAACUCAUUGAACCUUGUCCGAAUCCAUUCAGCUUCGUCUAGCUUGACAUCCAACAAGACUCUUAGGGAAGGAAUCUCCACUUCAACAGGUAGGACUGCUUCCAUACCAUACACAAGGGAGUAAGGGGUUGCCCCGGUCGAUG